UAGCUAGUUGGUGAGGUAAAGGCUUACCAAGGCGACGAUCUGUAGCGGGUCUGAGAGGAUGAUCCGCCACACUGGAACUGAGACACGGUCCAGACUCCUACGGGAGGCAGCAGUGGGGAAUUUUGGACAAUGGGGGCAACCCUGAUCCAGCCAUGCCGCGUGAGUGAAGAAGGCCUUCGGGUUGUAAAGCUCUUUCGGCCGGGAAGAAAUCGCAUGGGCCAAUACCCUGUGUGGAUGACGGUACCGGAAUAAGAAGCACCGGCUAACUACGUGCCAGCAGCCGCGGUAAUACGUAGGGUGCGAGCGUUAAUCGGAAUUACUGGGCGUAAAGCGUGCGCAGGCGGUUUUGUAAGACAGGCGUGAAAUCCCCGGGCUUAACCUGGGAACUGCGUUUGUGACUGCAAGGCUAGAGUACGGCAGAGGGGGGUGGAAUUCCACGUGUAGCAGUGAAAUGCGUAGAGAUGUGGAGGAACACCAAUGGCGAAGGCAGCCCCCUGGGUCGAUACUGACGCUCAUGCACGAAAGCGUGGGUAGCAAACAGGAUUAGAUACCCUGGUAGUCCACGCCCUAAACUAUGUCAACUAGGUGUUGGGUGGGUAAAACCAUUUAGUACCGUAGCUAACGCGUGAAGUUGACCGCCUGGGGAGUACGGCCGCAAGGUUAAAACUCAAAGGAAUUGACGGGGACCCGCACAAGCGGUGGAUGAUGUGGAUUAAUUCGAUGCAACGCGAAAAACCUUACCUACCCUUGACAUGCCAGGAACUUGCCAGAGAUGGCUUGGUGCCCGAAAGGGAGCCUGGACACAGGUGCUGCAUGGCUGUCGUCAGCUCGUGUCGUGAGAUGUUGGGUUAAGUCCCGCAACGAGCGCAACCCUUGUCGUUAAUUGCCAUCAUUUAGUUGGGCACUUUAACGAGACUGCCGGUGACAAACCGGAGGAAGGUGGGGAUGACGUCAAGUCCUCAUGGCCCUUAUGGGUAGGGCUUCACACGUCAUACAAUGGUCGGUACAAAGGGUUGCCAAGCCGCGAGGCGGAGCCAAUCCCAGAAAGCCGAUCGUAGUCCGGAUUGCAGGCUGCAACUCGCCUGCAUGAAGUCGGAAUCGCUAGUAAUCGUGGAUCAGCAUGUCACGGUGAAUACGUUCCCGGGUCUUGUACACACCGCCCGUCACACCAUGGGAGCGGGUUCCGCCAGAAGUAGGUAGCCUAACCGCAAGGGGGGCGCUUACCACGGCGGGGUUCGUGACUGUCGUGAAGUCGAAACAAGGUAGCCGUAGGGGAACCUGCGGCUG
rnacentral:rRNA from 1 species